ACGCACGUCACUGCCUCUCUCCUUCUCCCUUUUCUUUUCCUUUUCUUCCUCUUUCUCUCCUUCUCCUCUCUGUUCUCCCGCACAUCAUAGCAGCCCCUUCCCAUUUCUCUCUUCCCUUUCUUCACACAUGUUGAGAGAGGGUAGACCGAGACUGAGAGACCAAGAGAUCGAGCGAGAGACGGGAGCCGAAACCCGCGACCCAUCGUGUAGUGCACCGAGCCGACGAACGGCGGUUCCAGUGGCAAUUUCCGGCGGUUCCAGUGGAUUUCUGGCGAAGACCCAUGAGACCCGUAACCCAGAACCCCUCAGACCCAUGACCCGUUGAACCACGAGGACCCACGACCUGCUGAACCCGUGAAGGAAACCCGGUCCUUCAGUUGCAAUUUUUCGGCGACUGCCAGUGGCGUUUUUCGGUGGAUUUGUUGAGGGAAAUCUCCAAGAUGAUGCUUCUUUGGCUGCAAGUACUUCGGUAUAGUCGAUGGGUUGGUAGCAGUGUGCUUGGGACAUUAUGACUGAAGCUCGCCGCGACAGUUGUAAUUGUCAGACCACGGGUUGUCCACUAUUUUAUAGGUUUGGUAUGGCUUGUGACAUUUGUGUCACUUAUUCUUUGUUAAGCCAUUAUUGUUAUAGUGUUAAUAAGACUUAAACAGAUAGAUGUUAAAGGGCUCUUUGUUGUAAUUAAUUUGUGAUAGAUGUAUAAGUUGUAAUUUCCGCUA